GGAUCAUCAAGAACCCUGUCAAAAAUGUCGAAGACCAUGAGAGAGGUCUGCAAAAGAGCCAUGAAAAAGCUGCAGAGAAGGAAAGGACAGCGAAUAGGGGAGAGGAGAUACUAUAGGAGGAGCUAUAGAUGAGAGUCACUUCAGGCAUAAAAGAAAGGUAAUAACUUUAGUAUAAUCCAAAUUAAGUUGACAAUCAGAACCAUAUUAUCACUCACUGUAGAAAAAUAAAAAUGGACUAUGUUAAAUAAUGAUUAUGAAAGUGAAUUGUCUGGUGACUUCUGCUCAGGUCAUGCUUUUUUUUAACUCGAUAUCAAUGUCUUGUUGUUUUCAAAUCUUCAGUAUGGAAGGGGCAGAAUGGCUGGGGCCUGGAAAAGAAAAAAGUGGGUCUUCGGAAUGCUGGGAGUGCGGCGCAGAGGACAAAGCAAAGAGAAACCUGUGCUCCGCUUGGUGGAGAGGCGGAGCAGAGCCACGCUAGUGCCGUUAAUUAAUCGGUACAUCAGGAGAGGGUCAACCAUCAUUAGUGAUGAGUGGCGAGCUUACAAUGCUCUGCCUCAACUAGGCUACAGGCACUAUACAGUAAACCACAGUGUUGCCUAUGUGAAUCC